UAUAUCUCUCGCCAUCGUGCUCCUCCCCAUCCCCCGACCCCGAAAAUCACAUUGGCCGAACACCCGUCAAUUGCGCGCGACGACGGAUCUAUUUGUUUCUACACGUAAGUUCGUCCUGAUUGUCGAACGAUUGUACCCCCGUGCCUGUUCGUCAGCUGAUGAUGCGUUCUCUUGUCGACGAGACGAAGGAAUUUUUUUUUUUUUUAUUUUUUUUAUUUUUUCCAAACAGAGGUAUCGGGUGAGAAUACUUUUUACACGGCGAUCGAUUUAGGGAUAUUAUUGGUAUUUCAGAAAGCGAUCCGAGUCGUUCAAUAAAAAAUUACAUGGGUAUUAACGAGGUAGCUCGUUUUCAGUAGGAGGAGACAUUGAGAAGGAUGAGCAAGAGAGAGAGAGAGAGAGAGAGAGAAGAGAGAGAGAGAGAAAGAAUGAGAAAUUGAAUAAAUAAGGGAUCGAGAUAAACGAGAAACGCGACGUGUCCUAUUUUUCGAUAAAAAUUCUAGUUACUUAACGAUCCAUAGCGAUUAAUUAUGCGAGAAGAGUGAGAGGGAACGAGCGAAAGAGAAAGCGAUCGAGAGAGACGACAUGGGGGGAGAGCAAAAGCGUAUGUAAUUAAAUUAAAACUCCUCUUGAUCGUGCCUCUCCGAUUGUUUCUUAUUUUUCUUCUUCUUCUUUUUAUUUUUUUUUUCUUUUCUUUUUUUAAAUUAGUCGUACACGUCAUUGCUAUUAAUGUUAAUAAACACUUUUCCUCUUUUUAUCAUGUAGAACGUACGUAUUAAACGAUAAUCAUAAUUCCACUAUUAUCCAAUCUGUUUCACGAAAGAAAAUUCACGACGAGAAUCAAUUUUGAUAUUUCAUCGUUCACGAUAUAAAAGUAAUACAUUGAUAUAUUUAUAUAUAUAUAUAUAUAUUUCACAAGAGAACUACGUUAAAUUAUUUUGUCGUAGGAAAUUAGCAAUAGCUAGAAUUUUUGACAUUUUAAUCUUCGUAUACACAUCUUUUUGUAUACACUUAUAUAUUCCUUCGAAAUUGAUUUCUUCCUGUGAACAAAGAUUCUUUUCUCUUGAAAUUCGUAGUUUUAUUUUUUCUUCUUUCUUUUUUAAAUUUACUUUUAAGCGUCGUACUUAGAAGAAGGAAAAUUUCAGAUUUAUCCUUUUACGAGAUGGUAUAUUCCUUUAAAGAAGAAAAUGAAUCUAAGUAAUAGGGAUAUAAUAGAAAAGAAUAAUACGUAAAUAAAUGAAAUGUUGAAUGUUUUAUAAUUUUAAAAUAUCCAGAACGUAUUUCAAAAUAUCCAUACGUUCAAAAAUUAUAUUUACUAUGCAACAAACUAAUAUUAAAAUUAUUAUAAAUUCACACCAAUGUAGCAUCUUUGAUUUACAACGAGCGAGUUAAUACUAAUUAAUACUUGUUGAAGCUCGUAUAUCGCAUAAAUUGGGGAAAAAAAAAUAAAUAAAUAAAUCGUUGCAAUUUUUUUUUUUUUUAAUAAAUAUCGAAGAACGCAAUAUAUCGAUCCUUCGCAAUAUAAAUGUAAGUUCCUUUGCUUCUGCGAAAUGUGCUGACGCCAAGCUCAAGCUAGCUGCGAAAAUGUCUUUCAAAACGUAUCUAUUUUUCUACUAUAUGUCUUCUGCAAUUAAAAAUCGCAAAAUCGCCUCAUGGCGAUCAGUUUCGUAUUUUUAAUCUUCAACAAGUGUGUUUAGAUUAUAAACGGUGACGACAGUUUCGAGUUAAUUUAUUUGAUUCCAGAGUUUAUUUUAUUUUACUUCGUAUUUUAUACGAUAUUUUACACGAGAAAGACUAUAUAUUAUAAUUAUAAAUGUAAGAUAAAAAGAAUUAAUAUAAAAAAAAAAAUAACAUAACGGUUAUGAAAAUAUAAAGGUAUAUAAGAUACACUAAAAAAAAGAAAAAAAAAAAAAAGAAAAAAAAUCUAUGCUGUACAGAUCUGUAAGGAAUUAAAUAACCUAACUUCUGUCGUGAUCGUUCAUAAUGUUGCUAUACUAUAUAUACUAAUUGAGGGUUAAUUACGAACGUUUCUCGGAUAAUAUUUGCAAAAACUCAUCUCUAUUUUAUCCAAAUUUACAUUCCAUUUCACCGCGUCAGGCUUUUUCGUGCGAAUGAAAUUUUGAUAUCUAUCUAUGCGAAGAAUCGAGAUAUUCUGUUUUCGUUCUAUUCGAUGAAUGAUUUUAUCGGAUUGACCGUACAAUUUUGAGAAAGGGAUUGAGAAAAAGAGAUGGAACAAGAAUUAAUAGUUUGAAAUAAUAACGUCGAUGAAUGUUACCGAAUGUGAAAUUCGUCGACACGAAUUUAGGCCGCCAUUUAUAUAUGUUCCGGAAAGCGGAAAAUCCCGCCUGCUUCCGGGAUCGAUUUACACUGUAAUUGUACCUAUGUGUACGAAGCUAUACGUAAUAUAAAAUAUGAACACGCGACGCAGAAGAAACACACACUGUCACACCGAUUUUAAUUUUUAAGAUUAUUGCAAUAUCGAUUAUACACGUAUAAUAAUUAGUAUGUAAAAGAACGAUGUGAAAUGGUUCAUUUAUAUUAUUAAGAUUUAGCAAGAGUUUUUCCUUUCUUUAGUUUUUUUUUUUUUUUUCUUUUCUCCAUUUCGAAACGAGAUGUGACAACGUUAUCGAUGCUGAUAGCGAUGAUGAGAAUGAUGAUAAUAAUAAUAUGAUGAUGGUGAUCACUAUGACGAUGCAGCGGUAGAAUUUUUAGGCUAAUCAUUUAUUACACUUAUGAAAAAUGUCACUACUAUAGUGUUACCACUUUGAUUAUUCAAUAAAACGCGACGUUGACGGAAUCGCUGUUGAACUCA